UAAAACGUAGGACGCAAGCGUUAUCCGGAGUUACUGGGCGUAAAGCGCGGGCAGGCGGCUCGAAACGUCUGAUGUGAAAUCUCCUCGCUCAACGGGGAGAGGCCAUUGGAAACGGUCGAGCUGGAGGGCAGUAGAGGCAGGCGGAAUUCCGGGUGGAGUGGUGAAAUGCGUAGAGAUCCGGAGGAACACCAGAGGCGAAGGCGGCCUGCUGGGCUGCACCUGACGCUGAGCCGCGAAAGCCAGGGGAGCGAACGGGAUUAGAAACCCCGGUAGUCCUGGCCGUAAACGAUGUGUGCUGGAUGGCGGUUCGAAAGGGUCGUUGUCGAAGCUAACGCGAUAAGCACACCGCCUGGGGAGUACGGUCGCAAGGCUA
rnacentral:rRNA from 1 species